UACGUAGGGGGCAAGCGUUGUUCGGAAUUACUGGGCGUAAAGGGCGCGUAGGCGGCACGGCAAGUCGGGAGUGAAAGCCCGGGGCUCAACCCCGGAGGGUCUUCCGAAACUGCCGAGCUAGAGUGCGGAAGAGGCAACCGGAAUUCCCAGUGUAGCGGUGAAAUGCGUAGAUAUGGGGAGGAACACCGGUGGCGAAGGCGGCCACCUGGACGGUAACUGACGCUGAGACGCGAAAGCGUGGGGAGCAAACAGG
rnacentral:rRNA from 1 species